ACUUGGAACUUGAUUUUCUUGCAGUUACUAUGAGCCCAGAAUAAUAAAUCCUAAAUCAACACUGAGGAGGUGGAAAGCACCAGGAGAGCUGCUUCCUCCAGGGCUAGGGCUGCCUGUCUUUCCGAGCCGUUGCUGUUUCCUCCCUGGUUUAAUCACUAAGAGAGGCAUUCUCAGAA